rnacentral:rRNA from 1 species
GGAAUCUUCCACAAUGGGCGAAAGCCUGAUGGAGCAACGCCGCGUGUGUGAUGAAGGGUUUCGGCUCGUAAACACUGUUGUAAGAGAAGAAUGACAUUGAGAGUAACUGUUCAAUGUGUGACGGUAUCUUACCAGAAAGGAACGGCUAAAUACGUGCCAA